GCGAGCUCUAGACCACCAAGCCUCGAGUGACGGAUGGACCGAACGAGCAGGAGAUUAAAAAACUGGGGGGAGUGACUACACCCAAUAAUGCUUUGCUCCGCCUUGGGGAACUCUCUUUAAAGAAAUGCGAGCAAGGUAAGAGGGGGCAGCGGCAGAUUAAGCCAUGGUACUCGAGGACAAAGCAGGAUUGAAUUGCGGCUGUGGAUUUCGUGGCUGCUGCUUUGAGGAAAACCAAUAUCAAACUGGCAAUAAUAGGAGCAUGAUCAAACGUAUGUGCAACUAAGGUGCGUAGCAGCAGCUGGGAUUGCAAAAUCGGCCCGGUUUGAGCACAGGACAAGCUUGGGAUGGAGACCGAGAUGGCUCAACUUGGUGAGCAGGCUGUAGCUGCAGCAGCGCGCACCAGUCCCGGAAAGAUUUGGCACGAGAAAGCUUCGUGCUUUGCUUGGUUGAUUCUCCAGCAUCGCAGAGAAUCAGCGAUUUGACAGAGACCCCCUUUCGUGGGUUUGACAUCAGCAAGAACAAAAAAGCAUGCUAUAUGCGGCUAUAUGCUACGGCUACACGGUGCUGAGUGAUGAGUAUAGCUAUAGGCAUUUCAAUCAAUCCCGACUUAAUGCUUUUGUGUGUCAAUCAGGAUCAAUCAGGAUGUAAAACAAUCACUGUUUUUUCCGAGGCCUUGAAAGGAGAAUGAUCAAUCAGGCAACGGCGGUAUA